rnacentral:lncRNA from 1 species
GCUUAAAAAAUCCUCUGCAAACAAUGUGAAUUUGAGACCUAAAUAAUUAUUCUGAGCGCACUUCAGUGAGCGCACUGAGUUAACUGCUGAGUCGCUGCACAUGCGCACAGUGUAGUAGUACAGAAAAUAGACAGGAGAGACUAUUAGGCAGAUUUAUCAAUUCUAUUAUUUGUCGAAAAAAGGUGAUUGAAUAACUAGAGAAACUAAAAGAAGUUACAGAGCCUGUCAAAAUAUGAGAAAUUCUUUUUCAAAAUGAUUGAUGGCUUUCCAGGCCAAUGCAGUGUGUGGUGCAAAGAUUUCACAUUUUUUAUGUGGAAAUAUAAUUCCAUUGAAUGGUAAUCAAAAUAAGAUGUUUAACAUGCAACUGAUGUUGCAUGGUGGCAACACCUGAUGAUGUACAAGAGCCAGCCUGAAAAACUGUAGUACAACAGAGAUGACAAGUCAUUGAUUUAUUAAACACGGAUUUGGCUUCAAUAUCCGCUGCCUUUAAGCUAUCAAGGAGAAAUGAGGAGCAUGAGAAAAAAGGUGCGAAAAAAGAAUCCCCGGAAAUUGAAAAUCUUGCUCUAAGAUGGAAGACGUAAUCUCUGAUUUGAUGGAAUUUAAAUAUAUGUCUGCGGCAGGCAAAUGUAAUGGAUGUGUGUGCCUUACAAGAUGUCAUUAUUAUAUCAACCUGAUAAUUGCACAAAUAGCAUUUUAUGUACAGUAUCUUACUCCAGAACUCACACUAUGAUAUCAUUUUAAGUUGUUCUUUUUUUGUACAUUUUGUAGUUUGAAGAUUUUUAUUUAUUUUUUUAUAAUUUGAUUUGUUUUGUUCUUUGUUCCACAUCUAAUAUCCACAAUACAGAUAAUAUAAUGGAUAAAUUAUUGCCAAAAAAAGAGGCAAUUAAAAUAUUAUGUAACUUUGAUUUAUUAAUAAUAACAAUAUAAAAAUAGUCAUUUUUUAAUGCCAGUUGAGUCAAAAGAACUUUAGGUCUAUGAGAAUAUUUUACUCUGGGUGAAUAAAUCUAUAUAAUUACACUAUAUCUAAUCUGACCUACUCUUGGGAAAUAUUUGUGCAUGUGUACUUUUAAGGAUACAGUUGUUAUUAUACAUAACCUUUUUCUAAAUUAUGUAUUUAAUUAAAUAAAAACAAAAUAUAACAAUACUGUUAAUCUGAAUUCCCUAUUAACCAAAUUGCAAAAAAUAAAUAGCUCCAUUUAGAUGAAUUACAAACCAAUUAUGUGAAUGAAAACAAAAACCCAUCAUCAUUAAAAAAAUAUAUCAACAAUACAAACAACACUGUUCUUGUUAUCGCUCGAUCUUCCCUGUGCAGACAUACCUAAAUAUGGUCAUGAUGUCAUCACAUCAUGACCAUAUAUAGGCACAACAUGACUAUAUAUGGGCACAACAUGACUAUAUAUGGGCAUAUAACAGUGUUUGUCAAAGAAAAUUUGAUAGUGUGGACAGACUUUAAAUCCUAAAUGCACAGAUAGACCUAUCACAUGGUACAGGUGAAUUGCGGAGGCAUGGGCGUUGUUUGUUCGCGUUAGUAUGAAUUAAAUAUUAGAGAGUAUGAUCAAUCAUGUCAAUAGCUAUAGCAUAUGUAGCCUAGUACGAGGUUAGUGUAUUUUUAAGUGGAAUACUAUUUGUGAGUGCGUAGGAGUAUGGAAGUAUGAUUGUACUGUAGGCCUACUCAUACUAUACUGUUGUACUUUUCUGCAUCUGUGAAUCUAUUCGAUAUAAAGCCUGUUUUUCACUAGGCGAAUUUAUUCACUCGAAUCCCAAGCAUCGAUUCAUGCACAUUUACAUUCCUAUCAGAGUUUUUCCAAAACAAAAAAAAUUACGCAACCAAUUAGAGCUCAGGAAGCGAACCGACACUUCGAUUUGCGCGAAUAAAUUCGCCUAGUGGAAAAACAGCUUAACACUGUGAAUCGUCAAUAGUAAUUAUAUAUCACUAUGAAACUUACUCCUGUGCAGUAUAAUAUUUUGUUGAGAAAUACAAUUUUCUUAUGGAGCAUAGCAUACCAUCUUAUGUGGAGUAUCUGCUUACAUGGCCACAUAGAAGGAGUGACACUUACCCAAGUACGGCUUAAGUAAUAAUUAUUUUCUGGAUCUUAAAUUGCAUCUGGUUUCAUUAAUUUUCUUUUUUCAUAUUUUUGACUUUCUUGAGGACACCAUAAGUUUUUUUUCCUUAAACGGAUACCAAAUAAUAUUAUUGUUGUUGUUAUUAUUAUUAUUAUUAUUAUUAUUAUUAAAUUUUUUCAAUGCAAGAAAAACCUACCUUUAUUGUUUAAGCCUUCGUUUGUCAC